CCUCCCGUAGCUUAGUUGUCAGAGCAUUAGUGCGUAAAGCCAAAGGUUCAGGGUUCAAUUCCCGGCGAGGA
rnacentral:tRNA from 1 species